rnacentral:lncRNA from 1 species
CAGGUGUCUGGGAAUGCUGGUUAGAGGCUACCAGGGAGGGAAGACUCCAGGGGCCGGCCCCCAGGAGCUGAGGUCUGAACAAUACCUUGGAGUCAGAAUACAAAAGUCAAGGGACUCAGGGGUGGGCGGGUAGCAGGGAUGGCCACCCCCCUACCCGCCCACCCCCCAAGAAGCAGGGGGCUUGGCCGAAUUGGUGCGACGCAGCUGCAGGAUACCCU